rnacentral:rRNA from 1 species
UACCGAGGUCUCAAGCGUUGUUCGGAUUCAUUGGGCGUAAAGGGCGCGUAGGCGGCGGGGUAAGUCGGGUGUGAAAUCUCAGAGCUCAACUCUGAAACUGCACUCGAUACUGCUCUGCUUGAGGACUGGAGAGGAGACUGGAAUUCACGGUGUAGCAGUGAAAUGCGUAGAUAUCGUGAGGAAGACCAGUGGCGAAGGCGGGUCUCUGGACAGUUCCUGACGCUGAGGCGCGAAGGCCAGGGGAGCAAACGGG